rfam:Cavia porcellus supercont2_84 genomic scaffold, whole genome shotgun sequence.
GCCAUGCUUUGCUCAGAGUUGCGUCGGUUACUUAGAGUAUACGUAACUGAGGCCACUCUGGGUAGAGUAAGGCU